rnacentral:rRNA from 1 species
AUGAACGCUAGCGACAGGCCUAACACAUGCAAGUCAGGGGCAGCACAAGGAGCAAUCUGAGGUGGCGACCGGCGGCACGGGUGAGUAACACGUAUGCAACCUGCCUGUAAGCGGGGAAUAACCCGUUGAAAGACGGACUAAUACCGCAUAAUACUAAAUUACUGCAUGGUAAUUUAUUUAAACAUUUAUGGCUUACAGAUGGGCAUGCGCAUGAUUAGCUAGUUGGAGAGGUAACGGCUCCCCAAGGCAACGAUCAUUAGGGGUUCUGAGAGGAAGGUCCCCCACACUGGUACUGAGACACGGACCAGACUCCUACGGGAGGCAGCAGUGAGGAAUAUUGGUCAAUGGACGAGAGUCUGAACCAGCCAAGUCGCGUGCAGGAAGAAUGUCCCUAUGGAUUGUAAACUGCUUUUGCAGGGGAAUAAAGUGCAUCACGUGUGAUGUUUUGUAUGUACUCUGCGAAUAAGGAUCGGCUAACUCCGUGCCAGCCGCCGC